rnacentral:lncRNA from 1 species
CAUAUAGACAAACAGACAUAUAGACAAAAAGUUAUAUAGACAUAUAUGUGUUCGAAUGCGUUUAAGACUAACUGUCUGAUAAAUUACCCUACCUUUGGUUUUUUUUUUUCAUUGAAACAAUCUUGUUAUAACCGUGCUUAUUUGUUUUUGUGCAUACUUUUCCUCUAGUUUCAACUUUUUAAAGACUCUCCUUGCAAAAGAAAACGUCAUUUUAUUCACAAUUGUUUAUGGGAAAGACUGUUUUACGUGCCUUCUUGUGUUAUAAUGUUUUUAGCAAUAGUAAA